rnacentral:misc_RNA from 1 species
ACAUCCUCAAUCAGUUUGAAUUUUGGCCUCUGAGACACCUCAGUCAGUUUGAAUUUUGGCGUUGACAGCACUUCAGCUGAUGAUUUCUUAGCUCUAGGAGCUCUCUUCUGCAAAAUAGGUGGAUGACUUUCGUCUAUAAGUCCAAGUUCAUGGUUGUGAUCCUUAUGGAUUUGAUCAAUCAUCCAUUUUCCAGAAUCACGUCUUUGCACCCUUAUGAAUGCUGGGCAACCUGACCUUGAGUUAAGCUGAAAACCCUCCUUUGAGCACACAAACCUUCUUGAAGAAACUGAACCAUCAGUUCGUG